CAGAGUUAUCCAACUCCCUAACCCAUGUGAACUUAUCUCUUUGUUGCCUCGGCGCAAGCUACCCGGGACCUCGCGCCCCGGGCGGCCCGCCGGCGGACAAACCAAAACUCUUGUUAUCUUAGUUGAUUAUCUGAGUGUCUUAUUUAAUAAGUCA
rnacentral:misc_RNA from 1 species